UACGUAGGUGGCAAGCGUUGUCCGGAUUUACUGGGCGUAAAGAGCGCGCAGGCGGUCGUUCAAGUCGCGUGUGAAAGCCCCCGGCUCAACUGGGGAGGGUCACGCGAUACUGAUCGACUCGAAGGCAGGAGAGGGUAGUGGAAUUCCCGGUGUAGUGGUGAAAUGCGUAGAUAUCGGGAGGAACACCAGUGGCGAAGGCGGCUUUCUGGGACGGUACUGACGCUGAGACGCGAAAGCGUGGGGAGCGAACAGG
rnacentral:rRNA from 1 species